rnacentral:rRNA from 1 species
AGCGAACGCUGGCGGCAGGCCUAACACAUGCAAGUCGAACGAACCCUUCGGGGUUAGUGGCGGACGGGUGAGUAACACGUGGGAACGUGCCUUUAGGUUCGGAAUAACUCAGGGAAACUUGUGCUAAUACCGAAUGUGCCCUUCGGGGGAAAGAUUUAUCGCCUUUAGAGCGGCCCGCGUCUGAUUAGCUAGUUGGUGAGGUAAUGGCUCACCAAGGCUACGAUCAGUAGCUGGUCUGAGAGGAUGACCAGCCACAUUGGGACUGAGACACGGCCCAAACUCCUACGGGAGGAAGCAGUGGGGAGUUUUGCGCAAUGGGCGAAAGCCUGACGCAGCCAUGCCGCGUGGAUGAUGAAGGUCUUAGGAUUGUAAAAUCCUUUCACCGGUGAAGAUAAUGACUGUAGCCGGAGAAGAAGCCCCGGCUAACUUCGUGCCAGCCGCCGCCGUAAUAC